rnacentral:rRNA from 1 species
AUUGAACGCUGGCGGCAUGCUUUACACAUGCAAGUCGAACGGUAACAGGCCGCAAGGUGCUGACGAGUGGCGAACGGGUGAGUAAUGCAUCGGAACGUGCCCAGUCGUGGGGGAUAACGCAGCGAAAGCUGCGCUAAUACCGCAUACGAUCUAUGGAUGAAAGCGGGGGACCGUAAGGCCUCGCGCGAUUGGAGCGGCAGAUGUCAGCUUAGGUAGUUGGUGGGGUAAAGGCUCACCAAGCCAACGAUCUGUAGCUGGUCUGAGAGGACGACCAGACACAGUGGGACUGAGACACGGCCCAGACUCCUGCGGGAGGCAGCAGUGGGGAAUGUUGGACAAGGGGCGCAAGCCUGAUCCAGCAAUGCCGCGUGCAUGAAGAAGGCCUUCGGGUUGUAAACUGCUUUUGUACGGAACGAAAAGGCUCUGGUUAAUACCUGGGGCUCAUGACGGUACCGUAAGAAUAAGCACCGGCUAACUACGUGCCAGCCGCCGCCGUAAGAC